AGAUGCUUUAUUUCUCUGAAACAGGACUGUAUACCAUAAAUUCAGCACAUCAUGUGUUCUCAAGUGAGAAAAUGUCCAGAUUAAUAAAAUGCAAGAAAGAACCACACUCCUCAAAUCUUCUGCUCUGGUGAAGAGAUUUCAGCUUUAGGACUACCCAUAUUUUGUAAGUGACUCAGCAGUUUGUGCGCUUAAUAUACUCUAGGCCUUAUGCUUGAUGGCGUAGAAUGAAAAAUUUACUUGUUAUCCUUGAAGGGUAUAUUCCAGUGGGAAUAAACAGAAAUGCAAAUACCACAGAGGAUACAAGGUAAUUGUUGCUAUAAUAGCGGUAUAUAAAGUUUAUGGGGAAGGCAGGCACACUUAAGUCAAUCUAAGAACAUGAGUGACUUGGAGCUUGGAAUCAAGUAACUUGAGGGCAUUGAUAAGAUGAUGUCUUCAGAUCCUUUUAAUUAUGUCACAACUCCUUUUUGGGUUCUGAUGACCAUUCAUUUUGGAUGAAGUGAGGUAAUGUUAAUAUGAUAGAAUUCCUAUGUUAUUUUGGCUAUGUAAUAAAUAACAUUUAUUUUGCUCAUGAGCCUGCAAUUUCAGUAAGGCUCAGUUCUGGAAUGUGUCUCUGCUCCACUUAGUAUCAACUGGGGGCUGGAAUCGUCCAAAGGCAUGCUCAUCCACACUUCUGGUGUCUGGUGCUAGUUCUUGGCUGAAACUUUAGCUAGGGUUUCCAGGGUCUAAUCUGGGACUUCCACAACAUAGUGACUGGGUUCCAAAGUAGUAUGUCAGCGAGAGAGCUAGGUCCAACAAUAUGACCUAGCCUCGGAAGGUACAUAGCAUCAUUAAAUCAUGCUCUGUUGGACAGAGCAGUAACAUGCACCUGAGAAAAUUCAAGAGAAAGAAACCGUUACCCUGAUCCUUAGUUGGAGGAGAGCCAGUCACGUUGUAGGAAAAGCAUGUGGAGUGAAACACAGACACACACACACAGGGGAAGCCAUCUUCUGAAAAUGCAAAGGGCCACAAAGUAAUCAUGUGAAUGUAGCCAGGAUUAUGGGAGAGUCUGUAUAUUUAAAGAUUAAAUAUUUUUCCCUGCUGCCUACCAUCCAUUCCACAGUGACUAAAUGAAAUAAUGUCUGUGUCUUAGUUUCUUCACCUGGGACAUUUCUUAUUUUGGUAUGGUGAACAUGUUUGUGCAUUUGGGUUUAGGACUGCUAUAACAAAAUACCUUAGGCUGGGUAACUUACAAACAACAGAAAUGUAUUGCUCACCAUUAUGGGAGUGUAGAAGUCCAAGAUUAAGGCACCAGCAGACUGGUGUCUGGUGAGGGCUCCUUCUCUGCUUGAAAGGUGAUGCCUUCUCACUGAACUCUCACAUGGGAGGACAGAAUGGUUUCCUCCAGCCUCUUUUAGAAAGGCACUAAUCCCAUUUAUGAGAGUGGAGUCCUCAUGACCUAAUCACCUCCCAAAGACCUCUCUAAUUCCUUCCUAGCCUGAUGUUUUCAAACCAUGUUCUGAAGCAAUAUUGAAGUUCUGUAUGGUUCAUUCAGUAAUAUUGAUUGGGUGGCAUCAUAUGUCAAACACUAGAAUAGGAUUUGAGAAUAAAAAUAAUUUUUAAAAAAUGC
ensembl:lncRNA